rnacentral:rRNA from 1 species
AUGAAUAUCUUCAGCUGAAACUGUCGGGGAGUUGGGAACAAACUGACAGUUCGUGAAUUGGUAGCACUUGCGAGGGCUGCCGACUCAAGUUUUGUUUUUCUUUCUGAAACUAGGCAAAAAGCAGAAAAAGUACUUAGUCUUCGUGGUAGGUUAGGACUAAAUGUUUUUGUUGGUGUCGACAGUAAUGGUCUUAGUGAAGGUUUGGGUCUGUUUUGGAACGAUCAGUUGCAUGUUGAAAUAAAAGAUACUAAUAAAAGAUAUAUCGAUGCUUAUGUCUGUGUGUCCGACAAUGCACCUCUUUGGCGACUUACUUGUGUCUAUGGGGAGCCAAGGGUAGAAAAUCAGCACCACAUGUGGUCAGUAAUGCAAAAUCUUAAAGCACAGUCAGAUCUACCUUGGUGCGUUAUUGGUGACUUUAAUGAAGCUCUCUGGUCGUUCAAACAUUUUUCGGCUUCGCGGAGGAGUGAUAGUCAGAUGUUAGCAUUCCGUGACACUCUGGAGAUGUGUGAAUUCAUGGACCUUGGGUUCUCAGGGUUACCCUACACUUAUGAUAACAAACGCAGGGGAAGAAGGAAUGUGAAGGUCCGUUUGGAUAGAGCAGUUGCGGACAACAAAUGGAGAGAUAUUUUCUUCGAAUCCAGGGUGGUCCAUCAAGUGUCACCAUGUUUUGAUCAUUUGCCUAUAGUGUUGCAUUGUGAAGCAGAGGUGUUGCAGCAACGAAAGCAAAGCCAGCGUAGAUAUGAAGUUAUGUGGGCAAGAGAUUCAUGCGUUGCGGAACGCAUCCAGAACGCUUGGGCAUAG